ensembl:rRNA 5S_rRNA 5S ribosomal RNA
GCUUAUGGCUGUACCACCCCGAGCAUUCCUGAUCUUGUCUGAUCUAGGAAGCUGAGCAGGGUUGGGACUGGUUAGUACUUGGAUGGAAGAGGUGAUGAGGUGUUCUAAAGACAGCCAAGAGCU